UGACCUUUCUCCUGUUCUUUUGGCAGUUCUUUUGUUUCUCUCUCCUCUAUUGUACUUUCUCUCUGUACCUUCAACUCUCUCUGUAAUUUGGGAGCCGGCGCCUUUCAAAGUACUUUCUAGUCGUUUCUCUUGUAUCGAAACGGGAUUUUCUUCUUCGCUCAUCAGUUUUUUGUUGUGAUUCUUUGAUUUUCAUCAUUGUUUGAGGUUGCUGCCCUGCCGCUGCUCCCCUGCCUGCCAAGGUUGCUGCUACUCCCCUGCCAGCCAAGGUUGUCGCUCCUACCCUGCUAGCUAAGGUUACUGCUGCUCCCCUACCAGCCAAGGUUUCUGCUUGUCAGGAUAGAAUAUUGUAGUACAGAGGCGAGAGUUAGAUUUUGGAGCAAUGAAACUGCUUUCGAUUCUUUUGUCUCUAAUAAUACUUUUGAGCUCAAUACUAGCCAUAUUCUUCGCCAGGAACUAGAGGUCAUUAUUUUAUUUUGUAACAAAUCGAAGAACGUAAAGUACAUUUUGGAUAAAUUUUUUAUCUUUAUUAUGUAUAGUGAGUAUUUUCAGUGAUUGAAAAUUUUAACUUUGUAUGUAUCAAUUUCCUUGUAGAACAAUAUAAAUAUUGUAGAUGUAAUUUUGAUUUCCUUGGAUUGAAGUUGGAGAAGCAUGUAAUACUUAAAAAUGCGUAUGAUUGUUAUUA